GGAUGAGAACCUCCGGGGGCAAGAGGUUCGACUCGAGCGAAGCGAGAGAACGUUGCGUCAGCAACGGCCCGCAGUGGCAAGUCAUCCUCUGUCACCGGCAG
rnacentral:sRNA from 4 species